GCCCGGGUGUUGAAAUGGUAGACAAGCAGUGUUCAGAACGCUGUAUCCGCAAGGGUGUGGGAGUUCGAGUCUCCCCCCGGGCA
rnacentral:tRNA from 1 species